GAUGAACGCCAGCGGCAGGCCUAAUACAUGCAAGUCGGACGGGAUUGAGGAGCUUGCUUCUCAUGAGAGUGGCGCACGGGUGCGUAACACGUAUGUAACCUACCUUAAUCAGGGGGAUAGCCUCGCGAAAGAGAGAUUAACACCGCAUAACAUGAUGAGAUAGCAUUAUUGUAGCAUCAAAUAUUUAUAGGAUUAAGAUGGGCAUGCGGGACAUUAGCUAGUUGGCGGGGUAACGGCCCACCAAGGCGACUAAGUCGAGGGGAUCUGAGAGGAUGCACCCCCACACUGGUACUGAGACACGGACCAGACUCCUACGGGAGGCAGCAGUAAGGAAUAUUGUUCAAUGGGCGCAAGCCUGAACCAGCCAUGCCGCGUGCAGGAAGACGGCCCUACGGGUUGUAAACUGCUUUUGUACGGGAAUAAACCUUGAUACGUGUAUCAAGCUGAAUGUACUGUAAGAAUAAGGAUCGGCUAACUCCGUGCCAGCAGCCGCCGUAA
rnacentral:rRNA from 1 species